CAACUGGAAUGUGGAGGACGGGGAUCGACGGUUCGGGCCCGGCCCCAUGAUAAAUAUUUUCAAGGAGUGGGACCCGAGUCUUGAAUCCGGUCCUCCAGAGUGGAAAGUCGAAACGUUAAAAAAUCAGUUUUUAUUUAAUAAUUUGAAAUCAAAUUAAAAAUUUUAUCACAUACGGAAUAUUAAAAAUAUCUGUUUAAUGAAUUAAAUUUAUAAAUAGGGUCUAUUUCUAAAUCAAUGAAAAAAAAUGAAUUUCUUUUUUUAAUUGUUACUUCUUUGAAAACAAGUGACUAUUAACUGAUCAGUGAGAGAUCUUGGGUGAAGGAUUAGCAGUCUCCUAAGACGAAAAUUAUGAGGAAAUGCAAAAAUGCAGUUGAAAUUCUACACAUAUGCUUAAUUAUAUUUAUCUCGACAAUAUUUCGUGUUAUAGAGUCGGCCUACAAAGAUAUAGUGAUUUAUAUUUCUAAUCGAUAAUGCUUAUCAAGGAAGACAGAAACCAAUAACAAUUAAAUUGAUUAAUUGAUAAAUAAUUAUUAAAUGAUUUUACCUGGUUGAAUGCAAGAAAAACUAAACUAUAUUUCACGUUUAUUAUAUUAUAAUAAAAAUCAACUCUAUAUAUUAUAAAUGUGUUUUUGGUAGUAUUUUGUUAACUAUGUCUUUCUUUGAAAAAAUGAAUAAUGUAUUUUAUAAGUUUCUCAGUGGCUACGUAUCUAAUGUCAUUACAUUCCAGGUUCAAAGUAUUACAUAUGUUUAUAUAUUAAGGCGAAGAGUGAAGAGGAGAGAGGACACCAUUUUCUAUUGUGGAUCCGAAGAACGAUUGAGACAGGCGUUAGCCUACCGCUGUGAUGCGGUUAGACGUGUGAGUAAGAAUGGCAAACUGUUCCAACACAAACAGAGACAACAACGGUUUGUUAAAACCUGGGAUCU
rnacentral:lncRNA from 1 species